rnacentral:rRNA from 1 species
GACGAACGCUGGCGGCGUGCCUAAUACAUGCAAGUCGAACGAACGGCCGCGAAGUUUGUGCACCUGGUGAAGGCGGGGGGCGAGCGGGUAAGUAACAGGUGAGCAACCUACCUCACUGGGGUAACUAAGAGAAGGAGACGAUUACUACGGACAAAUAGUAGAUAGGAUCAGAUCAACAGUGAAAGACGGUUUUGGCGACAUUUAUCGAUGAAACCGAGCUGCAUUAGCUUGUUGGUAGGGUAACGGCUUACCAAGGCAACGAUGCAUAGCAGACCUGAGAGGGUGAUCGGCCACACUGGAACUGAGACACGGUCCAGACUCCUACGGGAGGCAGCAGUAGGGAAUCUUCCGCAAUGGGCGAAAGCCUGACGGAGCAACGCCGCGUGAGUGAUGAAGGUCUUCGGAUCGUAAAACUCUGUUAUUAGGGAAGAACAUAUGUGUAAGUAACUGUGCUCAUCUUGACGGUACCUAAUCAGAAAGCCACGGCUAACUACGUG